rnacentral:rRNA from 1 species
UGAAUGCCGGUAUGAGUAGCGAGAGGCAUGCGAGAAACAUGCCCGUCGAAAGCCCAAGGUUUCCUGGGGAAGGUUCAUCCGCCCAGGGUAAGUCGGGGCCUAAGCCGAGGACGGAAGUCGUAGGCGAUGGACAGCAGGUGUAGAUUCCUGCACUACCGAUGGAAUGAAGCAGUGACACAGAAGGAUAACUCGAGCAGGGUGAUGGUCAACCCUGUGCAAGCAUCAAGGUUGGGUUGUAGUGAAGUACGCAACCCUAUAAGCUGAGGUGUGAUGCGGACCGAAAUUUCAGUAGGGAAGCGAGUGAGUUCACGCUGGCGAGAAAAGCUGCUAGUACAUCCAAAGGUACCCGUACCGGAAACCGACGCAGGUGGGCGAGGAGAGAAUCCUGAGACGAACGGGAGAACCCUUGUUAAGGAACUCGGCAAAAUGACCCCGUAACUUCGGGAUAAGGGGUGCCUGCAAGAGCAGGCCGCAGAGAAUAGUCACAAGCGACUGUUUAGCAAAAACACAGGUAUCUGCGAAAGCGAGAGCUGACGUAUAGGUGCUGACACCUGCCCGGUGCUGGAAGGUUAAGGGAACAUGUUAGAGCAAUCGAAGCAUCGAACCGAAGCCCCAGUAAACGGCGGCCGUAACGAUAACGGUCCUAAGGUAGCGAAAUUCCUUGUCGGGUAAGUUCCGACCCGCACGAAUGGUGUAACGACUUGUGAGCUGUCUCAACAGGGGGCCCGGUGAAAUUGAAGUAUGGGUGAAGAUGCCCAUUACCCGCGACUGGACGGAAAGACCCCGUAGAGCUUUACUGCAGCCUGAUAUUGAGUUUCGGUAACUGAUGCACAGGUUAGGUGGGAGUCUGAGAGACAUGGGUUUCGGCUCAUGUGGAGACGGUGUUGGGAUACCACUCUUCGGUUACUGAAAUUCUAACAUAGCUCUGUGAAACCAGAGGAUGGACAGUGUCAGGUGGACAGUUUGACUGGGGCGGUCGCCUCCGAAAGAGUAACGGAGGCGCCCAAAGGUACCCUCAGAAUGGAUGGAAACCAUUCGAAGAGCGCAAAGGCAGAAGGGUGCCUGGCUGCGAGAUUGACAAAUCGAGCAGAGACGAAAGUCGGGCUUAGUGAUCCGGCGGUAUUGAGUGGAAAAGCCGUCGCUUAACGGAUAAAAGCUACCUCGGGGAUAACAGGCUGAUCUCCCCCAAGAGUCCACAUCGACGGGGAGGUUUGGCACCUCGAUGUCGGCUCGUCGCAUCCUGGGGCUGAAGCAGGUCCCAAGGGUUUGGCUGUUCGCCAAUUAAAGCGGCACGCGAGCUGGGUUCAGAACGUCGUGAGACAGUUCGGUCCUUAUCCAUCGUGGGCGUAGGCGUCAUGAGAG